CAUAUGAGAUGUGGAGACAGAGGCACAAGCAGUGGAGGACAAAUAUAGAGAGGAGCAUGGAGGGAAAAGAAGGGAGGGAAAUGAGAGAGGCAGAACAGAAAGGAGGUGGAGAGAGGGAAGAGGAAUGCUGCUUUUUAGUGAUAUAGCAGAGGCUGCAGCAGCAGACAAAGAGGAAUGAGGAAGGAAAAAAAUAGAGAAGGAGGAGCAGUGCGCUGUCAAAGAGAGGACAGGGAUCCCACACAGGCAAUCCUCGACCGGAUGAUGCAAAGGCAUUCCUAUAGUGAUAGGGAUGGAAACACAUGCUGAACCAAUCCUGAUGGGUUCUUAGACAGACGAGGCACCACCAUAAAAAAGACAAAAAGGAGGGUUGGGUGAGGUGGCUGGGGGGUGGGCAUUUGCAAGCUUCUGGAAGGAAAAGGGAGGAGAGUGAGCCGUAUGACUCAGAGCACAGCAGCAAGGAGACACUGUAUUCUGAAUGCAAGAGAAGCUGCAGGAGCAGUCCUGAAGGGAUGUUGAGGAGAAAUAUGGAGCAAACACAGAAGGGGCUUGAACAGUAGUGAGCUGUCACCGGACAGGCGGAGGACUGGAUGAGGAAGGAGGCUGCCUUGCUUGGGGGCAGUGAGAAAUAGGCCAAGUGAAACAGCUUGCCGGAGGGUGAGUUUAGGAACUUAAGCGUUUAGUAUGACUGAAGGUGACUGAGGGAAGGUUGAGUGACGGUUUGCUGAAAAGACCAUGGAGGGAAAGGUCAGGACAGCUACAUUAAUGAACCAUUGCAUACUAUAAAAAGUAUUUAGUGACUGUUUAUUAGCUGUAAGGAGAGGGAAAGCCAGUGCUCUACAAGUAAGAGAAGGCUUAAGUAGGGUUGACCACAAAGAGAAUGGAAAAGAGACAUAGGCCACACAAAAGUAAUGUACAGAAAAAGUAGAAAAAACAAGGAGGAUAAUUCAACCAUAGGAUAGGAAACCUCAACUUUGAUAUAAAAACAUCCCAAGGAUUUUUACACGUCCACAGACAACCUGCAUCACAUGAUGGCCAUAAUUAAUGCCUCACAUUAAUGCAAGUUGCCAAAAAGUGGCCAGAGCUGGCUCCCAGACGAACCUUCGGCCAGCAAUGAAGCCUCUCGGAUACAUUUGGAUGAUUGAAAGGAGAAAAGUUUGACAAUGACGUCGACAGCAACAUCAUCAAGAGGAAUAGUUUUUAUUAGAAAAUGUCAUCAUCUUAAAGAGCAACAGACCUGAGUACACUGGGCUGAAAUGCAACGUUGAAUCUCUGCCAGGUGAAAUUAACCAAUAUUUUUGAGACUUUUUUUAUAAUUAUCUUGUGUUGGACUCACUGGAGCAGUUUUCUGUCUAAGAAAAUGGCCUCAUUACAGAGAUUUUACCAGUGGAGGACCUCUUGAGGAAACACGCAAGGAGAUUCUCUAAUCAGCCUUGGCACAAAGGAUUCCUGAUGGCAAAAUAUGCUCAUUGCCUUUGUCUCAAAGGCACUUGAUAUUAUUAGGGUUUUAAGUCAGAAACUGCCUUCCCUCUGACUUGAAUCAUUUCCAUCUGAUGAAGAUUUGCCAGACUCUCCAUCCUGCUGUUGAUCGACCAGCUGUGUUAAUGUGGGGCAGCCUUGGUGGAUAAACUGCUUUUUUUUUUUGCAAAUAUGUUGGUGUAUCGAUUAAUGUGUGUUUGCACUAAGCUUUGAAGCCAGCUGUGUCAAGCUGUGUCAACGUGUGGAAGGAUUUUUCUCACCAGUGACAGAGCUGGACCUGAACAGUAGCGGUCGGAAGGGGGAAAGGGGGGUGAGGGAAAAGGAGAAAGAGGUUUAAAAACACACAGGACAAAAAAGGAAAGGAAACACUAAAAAAAUGCCUGGAUAAAGAGGAGAAACAAAGAAGUAUUCGACUGCCACUGUGGUGCAAUGUGUGGCACUGUGCCUUCAGGUGGUGGGGUGUUGUGAUGGUAACCAUGAUCCCCGGAAGCCACUAUGUCUGCAGCGCUCACACCAGAGAGGAUGACUCAACUAAUGACCGUGAGGAGCGAAUCUUAGCCGUGCUGGGCAUCAUUGGGACCAUUUUAAAUCUGCUAGUGGUCAUAUUUGUGUACAUCUACACCUCAGUCACCUGAGGUUUCCCACAAGACUUUAGGAAAAGAUGCUGGUGCCAAAACUUUCUUAUGUUGUUUCUUUGCAUCUUGACACACUUUUAGGGGUUUGUUCUGUUGGAUGUUGACCUGAAACAUUCAGACAUAUUUGCAUAUUUGAAAUUCAGUUGUUCUCAAAUAUGCAAGAGGAACUAUCCCGUCUUUCUGUGCAGUUCAUACUGAUCUGUGUUCUCACAUUUCAUAAAUAUCCAAAUCUCUAAAAAAAAAGUACUAUGUACAAAAUACUAUGGUUCAAAUUAAUCUGUGAUUGUUGAAAAACAAGUUUUUGACAUUGGGUAUUUUUAUUUUGAUAUUUGACUGUAGCGCCUAAACCUCAUUGUAAAAAUACUAGUUUUAGAGGUUUUGUGUUUUUUCAUACUUUGAGAUUGUUCCUGCCACUAGCACUGCCAGCCAAUAUGACAAGCCAAUACAAGUUACAAGGAAAAUACGAUGCAAACAAAGCUAAACUAGUAGAGGAGCAACUUAGAGUCAAAUUGCAUCAAUAUAUCUCCUCAAGCUGUACAUUGGUAUACUUUUAAAUUUGCAUUUUCUUGACAUCUAUUUCUUUCUGUUUUGUGGUGUUCCUGAAAAAAUUUCACAUGGAACUCACACGUCCGCAUCGGAGCACACCUGAGGAAAGAUUCCUGGCUUUGCUGGGAGUGAUUGGCAUUGUCCUAAACUUACUGCUGCUUGUCUUUGUGUACAUAUAUACCUCCAUCUGACGAAGAUUUAUGUUGUGUAUUCAUAUAUUAUAACUGGCACAUCUUGGUAAUUAUUAGUUUCAAACUGUUAAUACAGUUGUAAAUAUGGAGAUUUAACUCAUCAAUUAUGUAAAAUAAACUUUAAGUGGGCUUUUGUGUGAGAAAAUAUAAGUCUUGGGUUUUUCAAGGAAAACAGUGAUAUAAAGAUAAGGUAAAAGAGGUAUUCAUAAUAGGGGAACACUUUUUCUGUGUCAACCUGUUCCCUAUGUAUAACAGGUUUUCAUGAUCCAGAGCUCAAUGUGUUUCAAUAUGCUGUUUACCAAUGUUUUUUAUUGCUCCAGUGAAAUUUUGCUUCACAAAUGCAGACCAGAAUUUGUGUAAAUGCUUUUAACCCUGUUGGCUUUCUACUUUUGCUUUAUGCUCUCUCAUAUUGAAGACACACAGAAAUGGAACAAGGUUUUGAUCAUGAUCUGACACGUCCAGAAUCCCUGAGUGUCAGCAAACAUCCCUUUGUUAUCAUUUGGUGCCAACAUGUGAUGGUUUCUUUUAUGCUAUCAUGUUUCUUUGAUUGGAUGUGGGAGCCAGGCAUGGAGGAGCAGCAGCAGAGAGAGCAGACCUUGAAAUUGGAACAAAGUCGCUUGGAUUUAGACAGCAGACUUCUGCUGCUGAACUCAAAAAGCUGCCAAAAUAAAAUCAAAGAGGAACAGUGUGCAAUGUUUGAAAAUGAAGGGAAGAAUAUUGCUUUAAAGAUGUCUACUAUCUUUUGCAAAAAUAAUGAGGCAAAGAACCCUCUUCAGUAUGCUGGAGCUGCAUAUCUAGACGGAUGUGAGUUUAGGAUUAGGCAGCAUGAAUCUAAUGGAAUGGACCUAAACACAGCUGACAGGAGAGCAGAGCAGACCGGGCUGAAUCUACAUUUCAUCCUGGUCAUCCUUUUCUCCACCAACAAACUGAAACCAGAGAAGACAUAAUAGCUCAUCGGUUCCUGUUUCACCUUCAGAAGCUGUUAUAAAGGAAAAAAGGUCCAUAAUAAAUGCCAGCUGCUCAAUAUCUAUGUACAAUUUGAAAUGUUUUCCCAUGGGAAAAAGUGUUUUUAAUUUUGUUAUUAAUUCCUGUUACACCGUGUACUGCAUAUUUUUAAGUUCAUUGUUUUUUCUUUGAUUUUUUUCAACAAUUUUUAGGACAUAUUGGAACGUAUGUGUUUCCAGUGGCCAUAAAUCCUUUUAAUCAGAUGUGGAAGGCUUAGAUGAUAAUGUCACGGACGGAGAACACUAAAAAUACUCACUUGAAUAUUUAGAGUAUAUAUAUUUAGUUGUAUUAUUUGUGUUUAAAAACAUGCGGUGGAUUAAUUUUACAGAUUCAAAUUUUCACAAUAUUUAUAAAUAAAUCUGAAAAGACAAUUUUCUUCUUCUAUUUGGUUACAGAAAGUCAACAAAAAAAGUCAGCCUGGUGCUGACUUUUUUAUGCCCACAUAACAUGCAAUCUGAUCCUGUUUGGAUGGGCACUUCUGAUUGGAAAAUUCAAAUAUAAAACAAACAAACAAAAAAGAAAUUUCUAUAGAUUUUAAACAACUUGACUAUGAAUAUGUGAAAGAGUUCAUUGUUUGACAGCAUGGGUUUAAUUUAAUACAAUCUUUAAAAGUAAAGCCAAUUUACGGAAUUAGAUUAACAGCUUUAUUUGGUCAAUAUACUGCCUUUAAAGAUAAGCUGCUUCAUCCACUAUUCACUGAUGUUUUAGAGAUAAAUAAAAAGGUGAACAUUUAUAAUUUAUGCUACAUUUUGGAUCACUUUGUGACUGGGAACUUUUUUUCUAAAAAUAUCAAAAUAACAUUUAUGAGUAGGAACAACUUCCUUCCAGUAAUAUUUCUAUAUGACACUUAAAGCAAUAACGAAUUAUUAAACUUAGCUAUUUAAAAAGAUCUUCCACAAGACUAAAAAGUCUGCAAUAUUUUUUGCCUAAUCUCAACUAACAAUAUUGAUGUUUCACCAUGAGCACUUUAAACUUCCAGUACUUGAAUAAUCAAAAAGGCAGAAGAGUUCAGCCUAAAGGACUAACAUAGUGUAAUAGAGUAAGAGGAUCAAUAUAAAUUACACAAGCAUUCCAUCUUAUAAGAUUUAUAUCAAGACUAACUAAAAAUAUACAUAAAAAUCUUAACAUAUGUAUACUAUUGACUAAUAUUACAUCAACGUGUGUAAAUGCCUUUUUAGAAGCUGAUCUAUUGCCAUCCAAGUUGUGUCUAAAUGCAGUUUGAGUUUUCACUAGGGACCAGUUUUAGUGUGUGCUCUGUGGACCAAUCAGAGGACAGAGCCCUGAGGGUGAAUCCUGACCAUCUGCUGCCCAAAUAUACACAUAACAUGUGUGACGCUCACACUCACGUACACACACUCCGGUGGGUAUGUGCACACUCACGCACACAAAAGGCAUGGGUUUUCUUUUUCUACCAAUGAGAACCUUCACUCGUCAGUGAUUUUUUAUCUAUGCAUGAAACAUUUUUCUCAUGUUGCUGAAUUUUAACAGAAUGAUGUUGAGACCUUAAAGGGGUUUGAAAGCAGACUGAUUUUCUAUUGCCAAACUAAACAAACCUUCUUUUGAUGCAUGAGCUAAUGUUCAGUUUUUAGAGCACUUUGACACUUCCUGCAUGAGAGAACUCCAUGAGCAGCUUUGUAAGAUAUUUAUUGACAUUGGAAUUUGGCAAAACUAAGUGCCUGGUGGGGAUAAAAGGCAAAUGGUUUACUUUUUUGCCCUCUUUUUGGCCAUAACAAAUUCCUUUUUGGAUAAAAUGAAUUUUCCAUUUUGCAACACAUCUCCAUCCAGAGCAAAAAGCUUCAUUUUUAUCCUUUUUCUUUAAACGUGAACCCCUUUAUUCAUCUACCAUAAAUCAAUAAAAAUGUGGAAGGUAGAAAAAAAAAAUCUGUUUUUCAGAAAGAAACUUUUGCUCAUGAAGUAAAGAUUAGAUGUCAUAAGUGACUACCUACUUAUUGAGGUUUGCUUCUGUGAGCAAAUGAUUAAAAGGAUAUUUUCAAAGACAUGAAUUAACCUAUCAGAAGACAUGACAAUGGGAUGGUUCUUGAUUAAGCUGACAAAGAACAAAUGUGUUUUGAAAUAUGUGCUUUCAUAUGUAAAAGAUGUAAAUAAGUACAUGUAAAGUUACAGAUAUGUCAAUACAAUAUAAUAAAAAUAAAUAUUCUGUCAGAACA